AAGGGGUCGUGUUUAAGGUAAGAGGGGUCGUGUUUAAGGUAAGAAGGGGUCGUGUUUAUGGUAAGAAGGGGUCGUGUUUAAGGUAAGAAGGGGUCGUGUUUAAGGUAAGAGGGGGUCGUGUUUAAGGUAAGAAGGG